UACGAAGGGGGCUAGCGUUGCUCGGAAUCACUGGGCGUAAAGGGUGCGUAGGCGGGUCUUUAAGUCAGGGGUGAAAUCCUGGAGCUCAACUCCAGAACUGCCUUUGAUACUGAAGAUCUUGAGUUCGGGAGAGGUGAGUGGAACUGCGAGUGUAGAGGUGAAAUUCGUAGAUAUUCGCAAGAACACCAGUGGCGAAGGCGGCUCACUGGCCCGGUACUGACGC
rnacentral:rRNA from 1 species